GGGCGUAUGGUCUAGAGGUAUGAUACCUGCUUUGGGUGCUUGAGAUACUAUAGCAGAAUCCUUUGCAGGGGGUCUUCGGUUCGAAUCCGGAUUCGCCCC
rnacentral:tRNA from 1 species